CCUACGGGAGGCAGCAGUGGGGAAUAUUGCACAAUGGGGGAAACCCUGAUGCAGCGACGCCGCGUGAGUGAAGAAGUAUCUCGGUACGUAAAGCUCUAUCAGCAGGGAAGAAAAUGACGGUACCUGACUAAGAAGCCCCGGCUAACUACGUGCCAGCAGCCGCGGUAAUACGUAGGGGGCAAGCGUUAUCCGGAUUUACUGGGUGUGAAGGGAGCGUAGGCGGCAGGACAAGUCUGGAGUGAAAUCCCGGGGCUUAACCCCGGAACUGCUUUGGAAACUGUGCGGCUGGAGUGCAGGAGGGGUAGGCGGAAUUCGUAGUGUAGCGGUGAAAUGCGUAGAUAUUAGGAAGAACACCGAUGGCGAAGGCGGCUUGCUGGAGUGUAACUGACGUUGAGGCUCGAAAGCGUGGGGAGCGAACAGGAUUAGAUACCCCAGUAGUC
rnacentral:rRNA from 1 species